rnacentral:rRNA from 1 species
AAACCGCAUGGUUUUGAUUUGAAAGGCGCUUUCGGGUGUCGCUGAUGGAUGGACCCGCGGUGCAUUAGCUAGUUGGUGAGGUAACGGCUCACCAAGGCCACGAUGCAUAGCCGACCUGAGAGGGUGAUCGGCCACAUUGGGACUGAGACACGGCCCAAACUCCUACGGGAGGCAGCAGUAGGGAAUCUUCGGCAAUGGACGAAAGUCUGACCGAGCAACGCCGCGUGAGUGAAGAAGGUUUUCGGAUCGUAAAACUCUGUUGUUAGAGAAGAACAAGGAUGAGAGUAACUGUUCAUCCCUUGACGGUAUCUAACCAGAAAGCCACGGCUAACUACGUGCCAGCAGCCGCGGUAAUACGUAGGUGGCAAGCGUUGUCCGGAUUUAUUGGGCGUAAAGCGAGCGCAGGCGGUUUCUUAAGUCUGAUGUGAAAGCCCCCGGCUCAACCGGGGAGGGUCAUUGGAAACUGGGAGACUUGAGUGCAGAAGAGGAGAGUGGAAUUCCAUGUGUAGCGGUGAAAUGCGUAGAUAUAUGGAGGAACACCAGUGGCGAAGGCGGCUCUCUGGUCUGUAACUGACGCUGAGGCUCGAAAGCGUGGGGAGCAAACAGGAUUAGAUACCCUGGUAGUCCACGCCGUAAACGAUGAGUGCUAAGUGUUGGAGGGUUUCCGCCCUUCAGUGCUGCAGCUAACGCAUUAAGCACUCCGCCUGGGGAGUACGACCGCAAGGUUGAAACUCAAAGGAAUUGACGGGGGCCCGCACAAGCGGUGGAGCAUGUGGUUUAAUUCGAAGCAACGCGAAGAACCUUACCAGGUCUUGACAUCCUUUGACCACUCUAGAGAUAGAGCUUCCCCUUC